rnacentral:antisense_RNA from 1 species
AAAUCAUCCAUGACUUUCUGCAAUGGAAGAUGAGGACACAGCUAAGUAUGAACAUUCAUCUUUUGAGGGCCACACAGGCACAGCUGUUACAGCUACAGGAGGAAAGAAGGUCACAACUGAGGAAAAGCGGCUGAGGGAACUCAAAAAAUACUGGAACUGGCAGCAGAGACCACCAUCAAGGGAUAAAAUUACGUCAGCACCUACACCCAAAAUGCAGAGCAGCUGGAGAAAGGGGCAUGGGAAAAAAAGGCUGCCCAAGAGCAAACCUGAAGACCCUGUUUAUUAGCCAUUUGUCUCCCUGCAAGUGACUGGCAAUCCAUUUUGACUAAACUUGGGAUUCUGAGAUGCUCCGAAUGCCCUCUCUGGUGUUUUU